rnacentral:rRNA from 1 species
GGGUUGUGAGGUUAAGCGACUAAGCGUACACGGUGGAUGCCCUGGCAGUCAGAGGCGAUGAAGGACGUGCUAAUCUGCGAUAAGCGUCGGUAAGGUGAUAUGAACCGUUAUAACCGGCGAUUUCCGAAUGGGGAAACCCAGUGUGAUUCGUCACACUAUCAUUAACUGAAUCCAUAGGUUAAUGAGGCGAACCGGGGGAACUGAAACAUCUAAGUACCCGAGGAAAAGAAAUCAACCGAGAUUCCCCAGUAGCGGCGAGCGAACGGGGAGCAGCCCAGAGCCUGAAUCAGUGUGUGUGUUAGUGGAAGCGUCUGGAAAGGCGUGCGAUACAGGGUGACAGCCCCGUACACAAAAAUGCACAUACUGUGAGCUCGAUGAGUAGGGCGGGACACGUGGUAUCCUGUCUGAAUAUGGGGGGACCAUCCUCCAAGGCUAAAUACUCCUGACUGACCGAUAGUGAACCAGUACCGUGAGGGAAAGGCGAAAAGAACCCCGGCGAGGGGAGUGAAAAAGAACCUGAAACCGUGUACGUACAAGCAGUGGGAGCACGCUUAGGCGUGUGACUGCGUACCUUUUGUAUAAUGGGUCAGCGACUUAUAUUCUGUAGCAAGGUUAACCGAAUAGGGGAGCCGAAGGGAAACCGAGUCUUAACUGGGCGUUAAGUUGCAGGGUAUAGACCCGAAACCCGGUGAUCUAGCCAUGGGCAGGUUGAAGGUUGGGUAACACUAACUGGAGGACCGAACCGACUAAUGUUGAAAAAUUAGCGGAUGACUUGUGGCUGGGGGUGAAAGGCCAAUCAAACCGGGAGAUAGCUGGUUCUCCCGAAAGCUAUUUAGGUAGCGCCUCGUGAAUUCAUCUCCGGGGGUAGAGCACUGUUUCGGCAAGGGGGUCAUCCCGACUUACCAACCCGAUGCAAACUGCGAAUACCGGAGAAUGUUAUCACGGGAGACACACGGCGGGUGCUAACGUCCGUCGUGAAGAGGGAAACAACCCAGACCGCCAGCUAAGGUCCCAAAGUCAUGGUUAAGUGGGAAACGAUGUGGGAAGGCCCAGACAGCCAGGAUGUUGGCUUAGAAGCAGCCAUCAUUUAAAGAAAGCGUAAUAGCUCACUGGUCGAGUCGGCCUGCGCGGAAGAUGUAACGGGGCUAAACCAUGCACCGAAGCUGCGGCAGCGACGCUUAUGCGUUGUUGGGUAGGGGAGCGUUCUGUAAGCCUGUGAAGGUGUGCUGUGAGGUAUGCUGGAGGUAUCAGAAGUGCGAAUGCUGACAUAAGUAACGAUAAAGCGGGUGAAAAGCCCGCUCGCCGGAAGACCAAGGGUUCCUGUCCAACGUUAAUCGGGGCAGGGUGAGUCGACCCCUAAGGCGAGGCCGAAAGGCGUAGUCGAUGGGAAACAGGUUAAUAUUCCUGUACUUGGUGUUACUGCGAAGGGGGGACGGAGAAGGCUAUGUUGGCCGGGCGACGGUUGUCCCGGUUUAAGCGUGUAGGCUGGUUUUCCAGGCAAAUCCGGAAAAUCAAGGCCGAGGCGUGAUGACGAGGCACUACGGUGCUGAAGCAACAAAUGCCCUGCUUCCAGGAAAAGCCUCUAAGCAUCAGGUAACAUCAAAUCGUACCCCAAACCGACACAGGUGGUCAGGUAGAGAAUACCAAGGCGCUUGAGAGAACUCGGGUGAAGGAACUAGGCAAAAUGGUGCCGUAACUUCGGGAGAAGGCACGCUGAUACGUAGGUGAAGCGACUUGCUCGUGGAGCUGAAAUCAGUCGAAGAUACCAGCUGGCUGCAACUGUUUAUUAAAAACACAGCACUGUGCAAACACGAAAGUGGACGUAUACGGUGUGACGCCUGCCCGGUGCCGGAAGGUUAAUUGAUGGGGUUAGCGCAAGCGAAGCUCUUGAUCGAAGCCCCGGUAAACGGCGGCCGUAACUAUAACGGUCCUAAGGUAGCGAAAUUCCUUGUCGGGUAAGUUCCGACCUGCACGAAUGGCGUAAUGAUGGCCAGGCUGUCUCCACCCGAGACUCAGUGAAAUUGAACUCGCUGUGAAGAUGCAGUGUACCCGCGGCAAGACGGAAAGACCCCGUGAACCUUUACUAUAGCUUGACACUGAACAUUGAGCCUUGAUGUGUAGGAUAGGUGGGAGGCUUUGAAGUGUGGACGCCAGUCUGCAUGGAGCCGACCUUGAAAUACCACCCUUUAAUGUUUGAUGUUCUAACGUGGACCCGUGAUCCGGGUUGCGGACAGUGUCUGGUGGGUAGUUUGACUGGGGCGGUCUCCUCCUAAAGAGUAACGGAGGAGCACGAAGGUUGGCUAAUCCUGGUCGGACAUCAGGAGGUUAGUGCAAUGGCAUAAGCCAGCUUGACUGCGAGCGUGACGGCGCGAGCAGGUGCGAAAGCAGGUCAUAGUGAUCCGGUGGUUCUGAAUGGAAGGGCCAUCGCUCAACGGAUAAAAGGUACUCCGGGGAUAACAGGCUGAUACCGCCCAAGAGUUCAUAUCGACGGCGGUGUUUGGCACCUCGAUGUCGGCUCAUCACAUCCUGGGGCUGAAGUAGGUCCCAAGGGUAUGGCUGUUCGCCAUUUAAAGUGGUACGCGAGCUGGGUUUAGAACGUCGUGAGACAGUUCGGUCCCUAUCUGCCGUGGGCGCUGGAGAACUGAGGGGGGCUGCUCCUAGUACGAGAGGACCGGAGUGGACGCAUCACUGGUGUUCGGGUUGUCAUGCCAAUGGCACUGCCCGGUAGCUAAAUGCGGAAGAGAUAAGUGCUGAAAGCAUCUAAGCACGAAACUUGCCCCGAGAUGAGUUCUCCCUGACCCUUUAAGGGUCCUGAAGGAACGUUGAAGACGACGACGUUGAUAGGCCGGGUGUGUAAGCGCAGCGAUGCGUUGAGCUAACCGGUACUAAUGAACCGUGAGGCUUAACCUUACAACGCCGAAG